ACUUUGUCUUUUUUUUUUUUUUUUUGACAGAAACCCUACUCAGGAGGUCUCUGUCUCCAAGAAACAGCCCGGGAAGGCAGCAGCAUCUCUCCACCGUGGUUCAUGGCCUGUAGCCCCCCACCUCUCUCGGCUUCCUGCAGCCCCAUUGAGGGUUCCUCCCAGGUGCUGAGUGAAAGUGAAGAGGAGGAGGAGGGGGCUGUGCGGUGGGGGCGGCAGGCACUGAGCAAGCGGACACUGUGCCAGCAGGACUUUGGGGACCUGGACUUGAAUCUGAUUGAGGAGAACUAAAACUGAGAGGCUACUUCCUGGGGCCACACAGACUGACUCUCUUAUGGCUACUAACAAGUGUCGAGGCCCCAAGGCUGAGGGCCCAGCCUGGGAAUGGGGGUGAGUGGAGGGCUCCGACUCAGGGCAGCCGGAAAUCUUCUCGCUCCAGCAAGCUCGACCAUGCCAAGAGACUGGCCGGGACAAGAUAAACGGAGCUGGUGGCGGGAGGGACAGCCCCAGAGCAGACCCUUUCCAUGGCGGCCCUGAGUGUGAGUAUCCCUGCCGCUGAGAGAGCAAUGGGCAGGGAAGGAAGGGGUCUGCUGACCCCAGCUCGGGGAAUUUCACUAGCCCCUUUGCUUCAAAGGGCACUUGUGUCUUAGAAUUUGGCCAGGGUGGGGGGUUCAGUCAGCCUCCUCAGAGAAAUUGUGUGAGAGUGUGUGCGUGCAUGGGAGUGUACUUGAGGAGAAAAGUGUGUUUGCAUAGCCUUAGGGAAGGAAGGCAGUUGCUCCUUAACAACAGAGCAUCAUGAUACCCCAAGGAUCUUGAGUUUUUAAGGGGACAGUGGGCUUAUUCAAGGAGCCAAGAGGAUGGCUCCAAGUUUUCCUUUUUUUCUAAAGAGCUCUGGAACCAGGCUUAUAAUCCAUAGCAACACUGGCUCUGCAAGGGAUACUGUUUUGGGGUACACCAGGGCCUUUUAAGUGAUGUGACCUCAGCUAAUGGUCUUUUCCUCAGUCCCACCCCCUCCCACUAGAUCUAGUAUUGAGGGCUGCAGGGGUUGCCAUGUUUAUUCUGAGCUGGCCUGUUUUUUCUCAUCAGAUUGUCUAGGCCAUAUACAACUUGCCUCUCUGGCUCUCUGUGUAGAUGCAACAUGUGGGCAACAUGAGACUGGGCUGAAGGGCUCUGUGUCUUUUUCAUUGAGGGGACCUCUUCCUCUUAUCUUCUGACCAUCCAGUUUAGAGACAAGAUAGCAAGGCCCUAUCUUGGUCCCCACCAUCUUUUGAGGCAGACUUGCAACAAGAGUAGUAGCAUUCAGUCCCCAGCAGAAAGGGGUAAACUUGCCCUAGCACUGCCCUUUGGAAGCAGUCUGUAAGGAGACCUAUUCUUAUAAGAACCAGGCCCAGACUCUUUUCUGACAUGCUUGAGAAAGAAGAAGGGGUGAUCAGCAUUUAAUAGUUUGCUUAUCUUCCACUUCUGCCAGGAAAUGUUUAUUUUCUUCUAAUUGGCCCUGAGAGACCACAAGGAGGUUGGGGCUCACUGAGGGAUUGGCUAAGGAUGUGUAAAGCAAAGGCUGUGAGAAGCAGCUGGGAGUUUGUUGUUGUUGGAUUGAAUUUCCUUUUUUGUUUCUCAUCCACAACUUGAGCCAGGGCAGCAGGUCUCGGUGGCCUCAGUGGUGGAUUUGAGGACUAUAGAGCUUGUUAGGGCUGGCACCAGUGAAUAUGCAUACUGAAGCUGCUGCCAUAGUAGCCUAUAAGGUUUUGUCCAGCUUUGGUUAGACCCUGCAUGACCAAAUUGGACCUGCUCUUUCUGUUUAUUGCAAGAAGAGCAUUUUUCUGUUCAAUUUCCAGGGUGUCUUAGGACCCAAUUCCUCAUGAUAGGGAAGAAGACCAAAUUCUGUUUUUUCUUCCUUAUGGAAUUGAGCCUGACAUUUUAUAUAUCGUGUCAGAAUCAGAGGCUUUGGCCUCCUUGCCUCCACUUCAGAGGAGGUGGCCAUGUCUUCUUGAGCCUGUGGCCCUCAGAGGCUCUACCCUUCCAGGGCUCCUCCCAUCUCCUUGCUAGUUACCACAUAUUGCCACUUGGGCUACCAGGUCUCUAGGGGCCUGAGAGAGGCUCUCUAGAGAAUCCAGGGAAACUGUGAGCCCAGGAGUUGCCCAUCAUUGGUUUCAUCCCUCCCCUGGUUCUUCUCUCCCUCUUCAGGCCAUAAUUUCCCUGGUGCCGACUUCUUUUCCUCCUGGGGCAUCCUCAUCCCUGGGCUCUCUGCUGCAGAUUGGCUGUGCCAGUUUCCAGUAGUUCACUGGCAAUGCCAGCAGGGUCUCUAUAGGCCCUAAACUGAAGAAAUGAGAGCAGUGGUUCAGCUCCAUCCUGGCUUCCUUAGCACCUAGGGGAGAAGGUCUACAGUUGUUGUAUUUUAAUUCCAUUACUUUAAGUCUGGAAAGUUCAACUAGUCAGAACUAUCAUCUUGCUUCUUAAUCUAAGCACCUGUGGCCCUGGAAAAAGCCUUUUAAGAAGUGGUUCAUUUUGCUUUACACAAUAGGUCUGUUCCAACAGUUCUGUGUAAGCCAGAUGCUAUUUUUUUUUUUUUUUUAAUGCAUUUGGACUGCUGACUAUUUCAAAGCAGCCAUGAUUGCUUCUUUUGUAAAGCAAGCAACUUCCCUCUAUUUUAGCUGUUUUGAAUAUUUGGAUUUUCACAUAUUGGGCUUACCCAGAGUGGAACACAACUCCAGGGCUUGUGGCUGACGCUGGGUUGAUGUCUGCAUCUGUGCUGUGUGUGUGGUGUGGCUGGCCAGUAGGUGAGUAUUCCUGCGUGUGUGAGUGAAGCCACUCCCAGGCUGGUGCUCUCCUCCUGUGCCCGGUGACUGCCCAGUGGCAGCCCAGCUGCCCUUCACUCCCACCUGCUGCCAAAGUCCCUGUACUAAUGGGAUUACAAAAACAAAAGUGGAAAAAGAUUUUUCGUAAACUUUGUUUUAUAUUAAAAAAAAAAAUCCAUAAGUCUGUGUGUGUUAAACAUGAGGUUCUGCCUCUGUGGCUGUGUUUGAAAAAAUAAAGUUUUAUUAGAAUAAUCCAUUUUCCCAAGCAAUCUUGUGUACUACAGUG
rnacentral:lncRNA from 1 species